AAAAAAAAGAAAAAAAAACCUUUAUUUCUUCUGCCUGCAAGGACCACUGGGAGGGCUUAUGAGUCACUGGCCGCAGAGAUAGAAAGGGCAGGGGAAGUGGGCUGUUAACACCAGGCUCUCACCUGCUGUCAGACCGGGCUUAGUGCAGGAGAGGAGGGAAGGUUUGGAUGGGGUCUGUCAGGCUUGGUCCCACGCCAAGGCAGGACGCAGUGUGAUUGCUUCAAGGCAUGUUCCUGCUGGCAGAGCUGAGGGUGCAGCAGUGUGCACAGGAUCCCUGAUGGUAGAUGCGGGGCCCAGUGCCUUCUCUCACUGGACACAAUGGAAAUCUUUCCUAUGAAUGUAAAGGGAACUGCACUGAACAUAAAUUAUCCACCUUGGGGGAUUAGCUAUGGCGUUAAACAUGAAUCACUGAAUUCAAUGGUGCCCUUCCUGCCUCUCUUCUCCUACAUGAGACUUGACCCAGCCUGUGGAAGUGAUGAAAGGAAAGAUUAAUAAGUGGUAGAAUGAAAGAAGAAAGGGAACAAUUAUAUUAUUUUAACUAACAAAUCUCUCAACUACUUGAACCCACUGCUGUCUCUCACAAAAUACUUUCUAAGUGACUUCUGCCCAUUUCAACACUCAGUUUCUCUGUGAACAGCUCCCUCUGCACAGACCAGAAGUAGACUGUGUAGGGCUUGAAUCUGCCCCUCCAGCCACAUGGAGCACAGGGAUUCAUGGAGAAAUCCCCUCAGAAGUUCCCAUGCCGUUUAUGUUGGCUGACCAAACCUAGUGGAGUGCUGGUCAUGAAGACAUCCUGCUACCUCUGUUUUUCUGUCCAUCAUCUCCUGCCUCCCCAUCUCCCAUCCUCAUGUUUGUCUCCAUCACCUGUCCUGGCAUCCCCAGGCCAGGAGCUCUCCUUCACAAACCAUUCCUCAGGGUAUGGACACUUUCGC
rnacentral:lncRNA from 1 species